GACGAACGCUGGCGGCGUGCUUAACACAUGCAAGUCGAACGGAAAGGCCCUGCUUUUGUGGGGUGCUCGAGUGGCGAACGGGUGAGUAACACGUGAGUAACCUGCCCUUGACUUUGGGAUAACUUCAGGAAACUGGGGCUAAUACCGGAUAGGAGCUCCUGCUGCAUGGUGGGGGUUGGAAAGUUUCGGCGGUUGGGGAUGGACUCGCGGCUUAUCAGCUUGUUGGUGGGGUAGUGGCUUACCAAGGCUUUGACGGGUAGCCGGCCUGAGAGGGUGACCGGCCACAUGAGGACUGAGAUACGGCCCAGACUGCUACGGGAGGCAGCAGUGGGGAAUAUGGCACAGUGGGCCGAAGCCUGAUGCAGCAACGCCGCGUGCGUGAUGACGGCCUUCUGGUUGUGAACCGCUUUCGCCUGUGACGAAGCGUGAGUGACGGUAAUGGGUAAAGAAGCACCGGCUAACUACGUG
rnacentral:rRNA from 1 species